rnacentral:lncRNA from 1 species
CUUCACAAAGUGAACUCCACCCUGCAUACACUAGCAUGGAAGACAGAAAACGGCCUUUGUAACUGCCUGGCCCAGGUCUGGCAUGCAGCCCAUGUCUUGGUAACUGUGACAAUGGUUGUAUGAGUGUGUUUUAAAGGUGGGACUCGCUGGAGCGCACCGGGGGGCUGAGCUCUGGGAAGUCCCGGCCACAGCCACCCUAGGUCCCUGUGCUGGGCCUGGCUCAGAAGCCCUGUCUGGGAAACCACAGUCACCACAUUGCUGUCCUCAGUCGAGCAGCACGGCCCCAGGAUCCACAGGAAGGCGGCUGGAGACUCAUCACCCCCCAGGCCACACUCCCAGAAGCUCCCUCCACGUGACAGCCAACAUUCUCUUAAUCCAACAGCCACAUUCGGGGAAGGAGUAAGCAAAGGAAACCAUUCCACAGCCACUUUCACUCAAAACAUCCAAUGCGUUGGCACGCAUUCCAUAGGCUGCAAGGGCUGCAGCAAGACUGGGUUUCAGGAGGCCAGUGCCGACUGGGGCAGCGAGGUCUGUGUCCACUCCACAGGCUGUUCUGGGGAGCCUGGGGUGAGCUGAGCAGGGGAUGCAACUGCAGGUCCCGUGGGGAAGAGGGCAGCUGCUCUCAGUCCUGGACCCCAGACUGGCCUGCACCUAGGGGACAGAGGUGACAGGGAGAAGAAAGGGGGCAGAGGGAGAGCGGGAGAGAUCCACAGACAGACAGGUAUGUGUAUGGGUGGAUGCACGGAGGGGUGCAAGGGAGGGUGUGUGGAUGGAAGGAGGAAGGAGAAGAGGAAGGACAGAUGAAUGGAUAGCACACACAUUCACAGACAUUCAUUCAUUCACAGACAUUCAUUCACACAUUCACAGACAUUCAUUCACAUUCACAGACACCUAGAUAUGCAGAGGUGGAUGGAUGGAUACAUAGAUAAAUGGAACCAUAGAAUAGGCAGACCAACGGACAGACAGAUGGACAGACGGACAGACGGACGGACGGAUGAAUGCAUACAUAAAUACAUACAUACAUGAGAUAAAUAGAACCACAGAUCAGAUAUAUGUGUAGCGUAAAUAGAAUCAUAGAUUAGACAGAAUCAUUAGGUACAUAAAUACAUACAUAGAAUCAUAGGAUUGAUAGUAGGUAGGUAGAUAGAUGAUAGAUGGGUAAUAGAUGAUAGAGGGAUGCCAGCCAGACAGACAGACACAUAGACAGACAGAAGGGAAAAGAUGAGUAGUGGUGCAGACAGGCUGAGAGAGCUGUAGUGAUGGAAGCCAGCACACG